ensembl:lncRNA novel transcript, sense intronic to BIRC6
AAUCUGUGUGUUUUAGAUUUCACUAAAUUUCGAAAUAUUUUGGCAAUUAUUUCUUCAAUAAUUGCCUCCCCUUUUUUUAUAAUUACAGUUACUUAUUAGGCUGUAUGAAGUUGUUUGACACCCCAAAUCUGUGUUUCCUCUUUUCCCCCCCAUCAUUUUUUUUCUCUAUUUUUAAAUUUUGGAUAAUUUCCUGUGUCUGAUCUGUUAGACGUUUUAUAUCUCCUUGUCCUUACUUAAAGUGUAUAGGUUUUCUUCAGCUUUCUUGAACAUAGUAGUCUGUUUGUACUAUUUUUCUCUUCCUUAUGGAUUGUAUGUUCUCGCUUCUUUAUUUGCCUGGAGAAUUUUCUUGGAUGCCAGACAAUGUAAAUUUUACUUUUUGGGGUGCUGAAUAUUUUGUAUUCUAAUAUAUAUAUUUUAUUUUUUCAUGAAAUAUAAUGAUAUUAUUUGAAAACAGUUUGUUGCUUUUAGACUUGCUUUUAAUCUUUGUAAGUAGGAUCAGAGCAGCUUUUAAUCUAAGGCAAGACUUACUGUAAUUAUUGGUAAUUUUUAUAAACCAAUGUUGUCUAGUUUGGUAACUGUUAAGCACAUGAAAUGAGACUAAGAAACUAAAUUUUUAGAUUGAAUUUUUAAUUUUAAUGAAUUUUACCUUUAAAUAUGUACCUCAUUAGAAUAGAAUUAAGGUACCAGGUUUGAAAAUGCAGUUCUAAAUCCCAUUUGACCCCACUAUUAAGGCUCUGUCCUUAUGAGUACUCUGUUAGGAAUUCACUAGAUGUCUAAGAGCACAAAGCAUUUUAUUCCCUGAAACCCUGGGGUUGCUUGCCCUGCUACUUUUCGAUAGUACCUUUCCUGGCCUUCAGUGGUUUGCUCACAUAGGUUCGUCAGUACAUGUUGAAGUCUUGAAGACCCUGUAUAGAUCUCUGGAGAUCCAGGGAUCUCCAGAUCUCUAGAUGCAAAUCUGCAUAGAUGCAAAUAUUUUCUUCCUGGAUUUCCGGCUCUUACAUCCUCAGUCUAGGGUGACAACUAGGUUGUGCUGAGCUGUGGCCUAGGAAUUCUUUUCCAGACAGCUCACACAAUCCUAGGGGUCACCUCAUUGGUUUCCACUUACCCAGGCAUCACUGCCCUGCCCUGCCUGAUACUCAGUGUCUGAAAAGUAUUGUUAAUAUAUAUUUCUAGUUAAGGUUAUUUCACGUGGGAGAUGAACCUGAUCCUUAUAAUUCCAGAAGUGGAAUUCUAAAACAGAGCAGCUUUUUGCAUACGUUCAAGUACAGAGAAAAAAAUAAAACAGAAAUUUGUAUUAAAAAAUAAAAAAGUAAAUUAAUAUUAGAAACCAGAGCAUUUUUAAAAGGAAGUUGAGAAAUUUUUUUUUAGUGUUUGAAUGGCAUUUAUUCUUUAUAUUUACUUUUGAAAUAAGGGUAAUAAAUGAAAAUUGGCUAAACUUCUAAUUGCACUAAGUAAAUUAUUACCUAAUAUUCUUUGUGUGCUUUUCUUACCUGAUUAUGCUAUGAAUUAAUUUUGUGAAUUUCUUAUUAUUUAAAUGUUUCACUCUGACCUGUGUCAGUAUGUUUGCCAUUUUUAGUUGCUUGGUUGUUUUUGUUAGAAAGUAAAAUGUAUUGUUGCACCA